UACAGAGGGGGCAAGCGUUGUUCGGAAUUACUGGGCGUAAAGGGCGCGUAGGCGGCCUUCUAAGUCGAACGUGAAAUCCCUGGGCUCAACCCAGGAACUGCGUCCGAUACUGGAAGGCUUGAAUCCGGGAGAGGGAUGCGGAAUUCCAGGUGUAGCGGUGAAAUGCGUAGAUAUCUGGGGGAACACCGGUGGCGAAGGCGGCAUCCUGGACCGGUAUUGACGCUGAGGCGCGAAAGCCAGGGGAGCAAACGGG
rnacentral:rRNA from 1 species